UUCACUACAUGCCCCCUGUCUACCUGCAAAUAAAUGCAAGUAAAAUUAAUUAUCUCCUUUCAUAUUCUCCAAUUAAAUAAUUUGACUUGCACCUAGAUAUUCACUUUCUUUGUUCUCAAAAUCAAGUUGAUGUGCAGCAUGAAUCACCCAAAUGCAGCCUUCAAUCACUGGGUUGAAACUUUCGGGUUUGUCAAGUACGCAGCCUUUUUUGUGCGCCUGGAAGAUUUGUGAGGUAACUCAAAUCUCUCUUGCGAUCUAGAGUCAAUGAAUUCAAAUUUUCAUUUUCAGAAACUAGAGUAUGUUUCAUGAUGUUUGGAAUGAACACAUCACUGUUUCCAAGGUUCAGCCAUUAUACAGAUUGAAAUUGUAGGUAAAUUUGCUGCCCUUCCUUCGUGAGUGUGUGCGUGAGUGCAUAAAACGUGGAAUUUUGAAUGUAAGUAUAACUAUUGAAUUCUCUGCGCGGCGUGAAAUCCUUUUAUCGUUGAAGCGAAGCCAAAGCAUCUUCGUGACACCACCUCAGCGCUCAAAGCCUCAAAGCAGUGGGAGCCCCAGCUGUUGUCAAGUGAUCACAUUAAUCACUGUUGCAUCUGGCAUUGGACUUGAGGUCACGGUCUCUAAUUUUUAGAUUCACUAUCAUUUGGUAGUUGAAAUAUUCUUUUUUUGUUCAAGUCCUAAUUUUGAGUUAUGCUAGAGCGUUGUUUGAUGAAAUGCCACAACUAGAUUGGUCGGUCUUAGAAUGUUCCUGAAGUUUGAAGUAAAAAGGUUUGAAUUCUAUGAAUCGUUCAUGGAGAUUGAAGCUCCAGUAAAUUUUCGCACUUACAUUGUGAAAGUUUGAACUCCAUAAAUCAUUCCAAAAGUUUGAACUGAUAAGGGAUUGAAUUCCUUGAAUCUUUCAUGGAGUUCGAAACUCUAGCAGAUCUUCCAACUUCAAUUGUCAAAGUUUAAACUUCGUGAAUCGUUCUGGAAUUUGAACUCAUAAAGGUUUGAACUUCCUGAUUUAUUCCUAGAGUUUUCCGUGUUUUAGCUAGUGAUAUUUUGUCCAAAUUUUAGUUUCACAUUAAAAGUGGCUACUUUCUAAUUACAUUUGAAACAGUGACUAAACUUUGAUUAUCGGCUCAAAAACAGUGACUAAACUUUGCGGGAAGGUGGACGAUGGUGGCGGAAGGGUCACCCGCAAAAUGGUGUCCGCACUUGCUUGCACUACUGUGGCCUUGUCCAUUAAUUCCAGAAAUUUCAGUUCAGCUAAGGAACUAUGUAUUGGUCUAAGGUAAGGAUUCUAAUCCAACAUCAUUUAGAGCAUGUUAUAUUGGAUACAAAUAUUAAAACCACUACACAGGACUCUUUUAGGCUCUAUCCAUGCAAAUGCAUUUGCUGGACAACCACUAAUACACUUAAGAGCAAUAAAAUGUAAGAUUCCAAUUAUUCGGGUGAAUAAGUACAUUGAAACAAAGGGAUUAGCGUAUGCCUCUUUGUUUGCAACACUCAAUUGCUCCAUCAAACAUUUCCUCAAGACCAUACUUGUACGUGAAUCCAGUCUCCAAAAGCUUUUUUGGUGAAAGGCUAGGUGUUUUAAGAAUUUCGCUGCUUGUCCCUCUGUACCUGCAAAAAAAAAACAGUACUUCAAUUAUUUUCUUUCGCUGUCUCAAAUUAAACGUUUUAAUUUGUCUAGUGCCUAGAUAUAAUAUGAGCAAUUAAAAUAUGCAUUGCUUAGCUUGCAAGAUUGAGCAAUUUCACAUGCUCUUUGGCUAAUCAAAAUUAAGAAAAAAUGUUUUUAAAAUAACUUGCGUAGGUCAUAUGUUAACCUUUUUUCAGAGUAUAGUAUGUUGUGACUGUCAGUUUUGAGAAAGUUGAUAUUACUUGAACAACAACAAGAACAAGCCAGUAUAAUCCCACAAGUGGAGUAUGGGAAGGGUACUGUGCACGUAGACUUUAUCCCUACCUGGAAGAUAGAGAAAGUGUUUUCUAUAGACCUCGGCUCACAAAGUUGACUAUAGCUCAAACUAAAAAAGAAAGGCGGACACUCAACUUUCAAACAAAAAAAUAACUAGUACUUAAUAUUUCACUUUCUUCUUUUCCCUCCUUAUUUUAAAGGACAAAUUAGAGCAAACAACAAAUCAUAGUUAAGGCAAGAAUCUGUACUUACUCAGUAAUUUGUUUUUGAAAUUCAGGGUAUCUAGUUGAAAGAAAUUCAGCUAGCUUUUCACGUGUUAUUUCAACAGCUGAGCAAAUAUACC
rnacentral:lncRNA from 1 species